GAUUUUACUGAUUCGAGCCGAAUUUUUAGCUGCCUGACCAAAGUGCCUCUCGUCUACAUCCGCCUCUCGCGUAUUUCCUGAGAUACGUAUACACUAACGUACAAUCUCGGCGGGCAUUAAAUGCACCUCUUGCGCUUUGCAAUUUAAUGUAUAGAUCUCGAAAAGUGUUUUUCUAAUUGGGGUAGCAUAUUAAAAUUAGAUAUUCAAGCGAAAAGUUAUGACCGUUUAAAGAUUUCUCAUGCUGAGUGUAAACUUACCCGUAACUUACCCGACUAAAUGAAAAUUUCAAUUCAACUUUGUAGAGUUUUAUUUUUUAAGAACUCUACUACUAAAUUGGUUACAUCAGAAUGUCAAUUC
rnacentral:lncRNA from 1 species